GACCAUUUCAUUCCGAUCAGUUAGGCCUAUGGAGCUUCUGAACGCCUUACUUCCUUUUUGGUCACACUACUUAAGCAAAGCACCAAGUAUGCUAAACUGAAAACAAAGGACAGUGAAAGGUGUUACUACUUUACCCUACUGAUAGAGGGUUACAUAUUAGGCGACUAUGCCUAAUCAUCAGCCCGCCGAGAACAACUGCACUCUUCCUAUCUAGGUUGUCACAGGCAAUGCACCUUCUAGCAGCCUUGUUGCAGCCCUUUUAGACUGUUGUGCGUGUUGCAUCUGAACGCAUCUGGUCAGAAAUGAGUGAUGUCCUCUGUUGCCUUACUUCGUAGCACCACAGCCAGUUGCAGUGAGAUGUAAUUAUUGCUGAAUACAGAAACACAUUGUUUGUACCAUAGGACAAAAUGGGAAAGACAUCAGAAUGUUGGUACUAUUCUGGAGGGUUGAGAAGUAGGCCAGCAACAAGACCCACUGACAGAUGGAUCGAGACCCCCACCAUAUGCGACAGUGCCCUUGCGGGGAUUGCAUCAUUGCUCUGCCCAGAGUUAUAUUUCCGACAACGUGAACCUUCCGCAAAGUACUUGUCCAAGUGGACCAUCUAAUGGCACUUCAAAGGACUACUUCACUAACAUCGAAUUCAACCUGCUAAAUAACUUGUAAUGUCCCAUGCAUUAAUAAAGGGGCAGUUGCAUGCAACUUAAACUUGAGCUGUGCAUACUUGUUGGCGCACUAGUGCAAUUGACAGAUAAUGCACAGACAUAAACACUCAGGCAUGUUUAUUCAGUGACCUCACAUAACACAGACACACGACUUUACCUAAUAAAACUUCCCAAAAACCUUAUUCUAAUACACAAACCUUUAAAAUGACAAAUUUUUAAUCAUUUGUAUUUUUCACAGCUAAAUAACAUCUUAUGCUAUUUAACUUACAAUUUUGUUUCUUGUUUUAAUUUUGUUUGAAAAUCUAAGCUCUCAUUCAUUUAUUGUCAUCACGGGAGUUAUACAUUGGAGGCAGAGGAGAUAUA